rnacentral:rRNA from 1 species
UACAGAGGCCUCAAGCGUUUAGGCGGAAUCACUGGGCUUAAAGCGCGUGUAGGUGGAUUUUUAAGUGCUUUGUGAAAUCCUGCGGCUCAACCGCAGAACUGCUGAGCAUACUGGAAGUCUUGGGCUAUCUAGGGGCAACCGGAACAAGCGGUGGAGCGGUGAAAUGCGUAGAUAUCGCUUGGAACGCCAAAGGUGAAGACAGGUUGCUGGAGAUAUGCCGACACUGAGACGCGAAAGCCAGGGGAGCAAAACGGGG